AUUGAACGCUGGCGGAAUGCUUUACACAUGCAAGUCGAACGGCAGCACGGACUUCGGUCUGGUGGCGAGUGGCGAACGGGUGAGUAACAUAUCGGAACGUAUCCAAUAAUGGGGGAUAACGAGUCGAAAGAUUCGCUAAUACCGCAUACGCCCUACGGGGGAAAGCCGGGGACCUUCGGGCCUGGCGUUAAUGGAGCGGCCGAUAUCGGAUUAGCUAGUUGGUGAGGUAAAGGCUCACCAAGGCGACGAUCAGUAGCUGGUCUGAGAGGACGACCAGCCACACUGGAACUGAGACACGGUCCAGACUCCUACGGGAGGCAGCAGUGGGGAAUUUUGGACAAUGGGCGCAAGCCUGAUCCAGCCAUUCCGCGUGAGUGAAGAAGGCCUUCGGGUUGUAAAGCUCUUUCGCAAGGGAAGAAAACUUAGCCACUAACAUUGGUUGAGGUUGACGGUACCUUGAUAAGAAGCACCGGCUAACUACGUGCCAGCAGCCGCCGUAA
rnacentral:rRNA from 1 species